rnacentral:misc_RNA from 1 species
AGUUAACCCAAUUUUGCCUUCAUUUGGAUGCAAUAUACUAUUAGAUACAGGAAUUUCAGAUCCUAUCAUGACAUGGAAUGUUCAAAAUAAAGCCAGUAAAAGCUAUGCUUUAUGCAGAAUCAGGAGUGCUAUCACUUGAAACAUAUGAAAUAAAAAUAUUAACCAUAUUUGCAAAUUCUGGAAAUUUAAUCUUUAUGAUUGCCAUCUGAUAGAACAUGUAGAUUUAUCAACAUUUUCAAGGAACAUACUAAUCCAAAAUAUGCAAGUUUUAACCUCUUUCAUAUGUACCAAUGGCAGAGAACCCUUCCGAUGACUUUGCAGUGGAACUUUGCUUGUGACAGAUGCUGCCCUAAUUGCUUCAUCUUCUCCUGUCACAAGAAUACUUCAACUUCGGCAAUGCUUCUAGGCUCCUUCAUUUGUAGCCCUAACAUUUCUGUGCAUUAUUAGUUUAGAAAUAAUUAUAUCAAAAUAUUUUGGCGAUUAAUUAUACAAUUAAAAAAGACUCAAAAAUAUAUAAACACAGAAUGAAAUGAAUAAAUGGUUAUGAAAUUAUGAUUAGUUUUCCUUCAGCGAAAACCACAUUAUUACUCUUCGUAGAACAUCUCUGCUAAGAAUAAAGGGACAAAUAAUUAGAUAUCUACACCAUCUAGGCAUUGAAUGCAUGAUUAUAUUCUCUCCGUCGCUCAAAUAAUAUCAUUUAAAUUAGCUUGAAUCUCCAUUUGGCAUCUGCCUGUGCUUGUGGUGACAGCAUUAACAAGAAAAAAUGAGCACUAGGAUCUUCAGCUUCAGGUAUCAUGCAGCGCAUGAGAAAUCUCUUUGCAUCAAGUAGCAUCAUCAGGCACGCUGGAGGACAAGCUCAUAUGCCUUUGCUUUAACACUUUUGGCUGCUGUAUCUAUCCUGCCAUGUCAAUAUCACUCUCAUAAAGAUCGAUUCCAUAUGACAAAUCUUGAACUUCAAUUUCAAGCUAUAUUAGUACCUCCAAUUCUUUUAACCUGUGAAAUCUCAGAAAAUAACCUCCGAAAUCUCAGAAAAAUUUAGGCAACAAGGGAUCAUGGACUUUUGUUACAAAAUUAACACAUUCAUCCCAUAAGAAGGUUGUGAGCAUGCAUUCAUGAAUGUAUGCUGUAGCACACACCUAAAAUAUAAGUUUGUUGUUACUCUAGAAACUUUAUUUCAGACAACAAUAUGCUAUUUGGCCAUGAAGUUCCUUAAAGUUCUACUGAUGGAUCAUGGACAAGCAACAAACAUGCCUCAGUUUUAAAAUCUCCCCAUUUAUUAUAAACUGAUCCUAAAAACAAAGAAACAUUUUACCUUCUGAGAUCAACCAAAAAUAAGAGGAUUACAUCAACUGAGGCCAUUUCGUUGGAUCAAAUCUUUUCUUCAUAUUCGAUGGACCAGCGCCCCCAGGAGAAUCAUGCCACACCAUUUCCAUCUGGCGUGAAGAAGAAAAUACAAUCUUUAUAAUUCUAGCAAUUACUAGAAACAUUAUAAAACAGUUUCAAGAUGGACAAAUGGUUUCAGGCAACAGUGAAGAAUUCCAUUCUUUUUCACAGACAUGGUUAGCUCUGUGUUCUAGAUGCAACCAUGACCCCACCUGUACAACUACCAAGUUACAAGCAAGUAGAACUUCAACAGACACAGUAAAGUUGACAGUGUACCUUACACGAAUACAAGGUUUUAAAGAUGCCGGCAGCAAUAAGUCAUAACUGAAGUCUACCGUGCUAGCACUAUCAUAUAAACAUUUGUUUGUGUCCUGCACAUGGGUGCUAGCGACGGUGUUUAUUAUUUUGGUGCUAAUGCUAGGCAUGACAAGGAAUGGGAGUGAUUCGGCAUAUAAAGUAUUACACAUACCUCUCCAACAACCACUGUGUCACCCUCCUUGACACCCAUCUUUGUGAGAGACUUAUACACACCACAAGCUUCCAAAACAUGCUGAAACCGUCUCUCAGAAUCUGCAUAUCGCCAAUUUGUCAUCUGAACAAAACGUUGUAACCCUGACCCAACAACAUGCCAAAUAUUGGACCCACUAUCAUAAAAGAUCUCAAAGUCAUCAAUAGGGGACCUUCGCUGCUUCUGUACCUUAUCAGCUACAUGAUUCAAAUUUACUGGAUUUGUCAAACCUUCAAACUCUUGAUUGGCUCCUUUACUUCUUCGUAGAAGCUCGUAAGCAGCACAUAUCACUUCAUGAGUGCCUUCUCUCUUCACAGCACUCAUGCAAAAAGGCUCCAUCCCACGAGCUUCUUGUCUUUCCUUGAAUGAUGGCCAAUUUUCAUAUGCUUCUGGAAGGUCCAUUUUGUUAUAGGCAACUAUAAAAGGCUUCUCAGCAAGUUCUGGACUGAACAAUUCCAGCUCAAGACGAACAGCAUCCAACUCAUAUUCUGGCUGCUGGGAGGAGCCAUCAACAACAUGUACCAGAGCAGAACACCUCUCUGUGUGCCGUAGAAACUCGUGGCCCAAACCAAAACCGCCAUGUGCUCCUUCAAGUAGACCUGGCAGGUCUGCUACUACCAUUGUAGAAUCAUAAUCAAAUGAAACUACACCAAGGUUAGGAAGUAAAGUAGUAAAGGGGUAAUUUGCUAUUGUUGGCUGUGCAGCACUUAUCACGCUCAAAAGUGUGCUUUUCCCAGCAUUUGGGGCACCCACAAUUCCAACAUCUGCGACAAGCUUUAGCUCGAGCUCCAACCACCUGAUCAUGAACGCCAUUACUCCUACUAACAUGCACAAAACAGAAGUAACUCACCUGAACCUAGCACUACUUCCCUUGAGUUCCACCAAAUAUUAAAUUUAAUGAGUUCAUAAUUCUUUCUGAAUACUCUGAUGGUAAAAUAUAAAAUUCCUAGUCAUGCAAUCUCAGAUAAAUCACAUUGGAAAAUGAAACAAAUAAUAACCGACCAGUUCAAGCGCUUAAUACACAAACAUAACUCUCAUAGAAUAAGAUCACAAUCUUAAAAAUAGCCAAAAAGGAAAUGCAUGGUAAACAGAUUGGUCAUUACUAAAUACUCACAUUUCCGGACCCUCUUCGCCAUUCUCAGCAAUCCUGGGAACCUUAUUGCUCCCACACUUAAACGCCGCAUUCCCUCUGCCACCUCUCCCACCGGGCAACAACAGAGCCCGUUGUCCUGGAUACAACAGCUCCAACAGCACCUCCUCUCUCCCUGCCUCUCUAAUAACCGUGCCUGGUGCCAUCUUGACCACCACAUCCUCUCCUUUCGCCCCAUUCAUCAUCAUUCCCUGACCAUGGGACCCCCUUCCCGCCCUGUAAUGCACUCUGUUCCUAAAUGGCAACAACGAAUUCAUCGAACUGUCGACUUCUACAUACACAUUUCCCCCUCUCCCUCCGUCCCCGCCAGAUGGGCCACCCAAGGGCACAAAUUUCUCGCGCCGAAAUGCCACGACACCGUUUCCACCAUCUCCAGCUUUGACGUAGAUUUUGGCGCGAUCGAAGCAUCGCAUUACCGCCGGCACUCCCUUCUCUUUCACAUCUCCGUCCUCGAAAUCGGAUAGAUAUACGGUUUCGCCAUUGGUAAUUUCCUCCUUCUCCUCUGUUUCGUAAAAGCGAUUGCCAUUGUAAUGAUUUACGGAUUUGCCACUAACAAUUUCUUCUUCUUCGUCUUCUUCGUUAUCAUACUCAUAAUCAUCGUUAUAGUCAUCUUCUUCAACAUCAGAAUUAACCUCAUACACUUCAAAUUUCCCAUAAUCAACCCGUAAAUUACCAUCCAUGCCAUCUUCUUCUACUUCAACUUCUU